GCCAACAAUAUCUCCCAGGUUCCUCUCCAAGAAGAAAGUUUGAUUCAUCAGAUGAACAUUAAUCAGGUAAUAGAGAUACAGACCAGCAGUGACAUGGUGGAGAUAGAAAACCAAACUCUUGAAAUGGUAUGCUAAAAUGAAUGAUCUAUAGUUUGUCACAUGCAAAGCCACCUCUCCAGAUGUGCACAGGGAGCCCUAAUGGCCCAUCAUGCUUGGUGAGAUAUCCCAAGACCUUUGGAGUGAACUGUUGUCCGUGUGGCCCCACGUAUGGACACCCCAGCCCACUAUUGCAAGGAACAACUGGAAGCUCUUUUACUGUGAAUCCACUCCAGUGUUAUCCGUCAAACGUGCCUUCAGGUGUGUGUAACCUGCAUUUUGUGUAGAGUUCAGGAGACAUCAACAGUUACAGGGAGGCCCUCAAAGUCAACAGCACCGAGAGCUGGUGGGACAAACACAAGAGAGCCUUGUAACUCCGUCCUGGGACCACAUCAGUCCCCCAGCAGAUCCAGAGGUUUUUCCCAACAACUCACUUCUAAGUGAUGAUUGCUGCAAUCCUUUUUGAAAUAAAAUGUGUUUUAAUUGUGAAAAGAAAGGGCUUGUGUUAUAAUGGAUAAGAGUUUGAUAUUUUACAAAGUGAACAACAGCAACUGCAUCCUUGGAAUGGGCACUAAUAGCAUGAUAUAUGUACGCUGAGUAGAGAUCUCUCUGCAUGCUUCCAUGCAUGUAUCCCGACCGUCUGAUUAAAUAAACCAUCUCCUACGCAGAUUCAUCGUUUACUUUUCGAAUCGGCUAAAAAUUCUGAAACAGACCACAAGCAUUGUCA
rnacentral:lncRNA from 1 species